AACGAACGCUGGCGGCAGGCCUAACACAUGCAAGUCGAGCGAGACCUUCGGGUCUAGUGGCAGACGGGUGAGGAACACGUGGGAACAUCCCUUUCAGUUCGGAAUAACGUUGGGAAACUAACGCUAAUACCGGAUACGUCCUUCGGGAGAAAGAUUUAUCGCUGAAAGAUUGGCCCGCGUCUGAUUAGCUAGUUGAUGGGGUAAAGGCCCACCAAGCCAACGAUCUGUAGCUGGUCUGAGAGGACGACCAGCCACACUGGAACUGAGACACGGUCCAGACUCCUACGGGAGGCAGCAGUGGGGAAUUUUGGACAAUGGGCGAAAGCCUGAUCCAGCCAUUCCGCGUGCAGGAUGAAGGCCCUCGGGUUGUAAACUGCUUUUGUACAGAACGAAAAGGUUUCUACUAAUACUAGGAGCUCAUGACGGUACUGUAAGAAUAAGCACCGGCUAACUACGUGCCAGCCGCCGCCGUAA
rnacentral:rRNA from 1 species